CGAGCGGCGAACGGGUGAGUAACGCGUGGAUAACCUGCCCAGAGGUGGGGGAUAGCUCGGGGAAACCCGGAUUAAUACCGCAUAUGACCGUGAGGUCAAAGGGGGCUCGCAAGGGCUCUCGCCAUUGGAGGGGUCCGCGUCCGAUUAGCUAGUUGGUAGGGUAAUGGCCUACCAAGGCGACGAUCGGUAGCCGGCCUGAGAGGGUGAUCGGCCACACUGGAACUGAGACACGGUCCAG
rnacentral:rRNA from 1 species